rnacentral:rRNA from 1 species
CUAGCGGCGAGUGAAGCGGCAAAAGCUCAAAUUUGAAAUCUGGCACUUUCAGUGUCCGAGUUGUAAUUUGAAGAAGGUAUCUUUGGGUCUGGCUCUUGUCUAUGUUUCUUGGAACAGAACGUCACAGAGGGUGAGAAUCCCGUGCGAUGAGAUGUCCCAGACCUAUGUAAAGUUCCUUCGAAGAGUCGAGUUGUUUGGGAAUGCAGCUCUAAGUGGGUGGUAAAUUCCAUCUAAAGCUAAAUAUUGGCGAGAGACCGAUAGCGAACAAGUACAGUGAUGGAAAGAUGAAAAGAACUUUGAAAAGAGAGUGAAAAAGUACGUGAAAUUGUUGAAAGGGAAGGGCUUGAGAUCAGACUUGGUAUUUUGUAUGUUACUCUCUCGGGGGUGGCCUCUACAGUUUACCGGGCCAGCAUCAGUUUGAGCGGUAGGAUAAGUGCAAAGAAAUGUGGCACUGCUUCGGUAGUGUGUUAUAGUCUUUGUCGAUACUGCCAGCUUAGACUGAGGACUGCGGCUUCGGCCUAGGAUGUUGGCAUAAUGAUCUUAAGUCGCCCGUCUUGAAACACGGACCA